AUUGAACGCUGGCGGCAGGCCUAACACAUGCAAGUCGAACGAGUGGCGGACGGGUGAGUAAUAUAUGGGAAACUGCCUGAUGGCGGGGGAUAACUACUGGAAACGGUAGCUAAUACCGCAUACCAUCAGAUGUGCCCAGAUGGGAUUAGCUAGUUGGUGGGGUAAAGGCUCACCAAGGCAACGAUCCCUAGCUGGUAUGAGAGGAAGACCAGCCACACUGGAACUGAGACACGGCCCAGACUCCUACGGGAGGCAGCAGUGGGGAAUAUUGGACAAUGGGCGAAAGCCUGAUGCAGCCAUCCCGCGUGGAUGAUGAAGGCCUGCGGGUUGUAAAGUACUUUCGGCAGGGAGGCGUUACCUGCAGAAGAAGCACCGGCUAACUCCGUGCCAGCAGCCGCGGUAAUUC
rnacentral:rRNA from 1 species